AUUGAACGCUGGCGGCAUGCCUUACACAUGCAAGUCGAACGGCAGCACGGGAGCAAUCCUGGUGGCGAGUGGCGAACGGGUGAGUAAAGUAUCGGAACGUGCCAAGUCGUGGGGGAUAACGUAGCGAAAGUUACGCUAAUACCGCAUACGAUCUAUGGAUGAAAGCGGGGGAUCGCAAGACCACGCGCGUUUGGAGCGGACGAUAUCAGAUUAGGUAGUUGGUGGGGUAAAGGCCCACCAAGCGGACGAGCUGUAGCUGGUCUGAGAGGACGACCAGCCACACUGGGACUGAGACACGGCCCAGACUCCUACGGGAGGCAGCAGUGGGGAAUUUUGGACAAUGGGCGAAAGCCUGAUCCAGCCAUGCCGCGUGCAGGAUGAAGGCCUUCGGGUUGUAAACUGCUUUUGUACGGAACGAAAAGGACUGCCCUAAUACGGUGGUCCCAUGACGGUACCGUAAGAAUAAGCACCGGCUAACUACGUGCCAGCCGCCGCCGUAACAC
rnacentral:rRNA from 1 species